GUAGAAACAGUCUGUGUUGAUUUCAG
rnacentral:piRNA from 1 species